rnacentral:rRNA from 1 species
AACGAACGCUGGCGGCAGGCUUAACACAUGCAAGUCGAACGCAUCCUUCGGGGUGAGUGGCAGACGGGUGAGUAACGCGUGGGAACGUGCCCUUCAGCUCGGGAUAACCCAGGGAAACUUGGGCUAAUACCGGAUACGUGCGAGAGCAGAAAGAUUUAUCGCUGAAGGAUCGGCCCGCGUCUGAUUAGCUAGUUGGUGGGGUAAUGGCCCACAAAGGUGACGAUCAGUAGCUGGUCUGAGAGGAUGAUCAGCCACAUUGGGACUGAGACACGGCCCAAACUCCUACGGGAGGCAGCAGUGGGGAAUAUUGGACAAUGGGCGCAAGCCUGAUCCAGCCAUGCCGCGUGAGUGAUGAAGGCCUUAGGGUUGUAAAGCUCUUUCGUCCGGGACGAUAAUGACGGUACCGGAAGAAGAAGCCCCGGCUAACUUCGUGCCAGCCGCCGCUGUAA